rnacentral:pre_miRNA from 2 species
GCUUCUCGCUCACCAUGAAUUCCCACUCGAAAAUAUGAUAUGCUCGGCAUCCUCCGGGCAGGAAGGAGGAUGCCGAGCAUAUUAUAUUUUCUUGUGGUAGAUUCUCAGCGCAGC